ensembl:lncRNA
UAGAAAGGCCAAAACCUAGGAAGAAACAUAGAGAGGAACCAGGCUAUGAGGGGUGGCCAGUCCUCUUCUGACUGUGCCGGGUGGAGAUAACAGAACAUGGCCAAGCUGUUCAAAUGUUCAUAAAUGACCAGCAUGGUCAAAUAAUAAUAAUAAUCACAGUAGUUGUUGAGGGUGCAGCAAGUCAGCACCUCAGGAGUAAAAUGUCAGUUGGCUUUUCAUAGCCAAUCAUUAAGAGCAUCUCUACCACUCCUGCUGUCUCUAGAGUUAAAAACAGCAGGUCUGGGACAGGUAGCACGUCCGGUGAACAGGUCAGGAUUCCAUAGCCGCAGCCAGAACAGUUGAAACUGGAGCAGCAGCACGGCCAGGUGAACUGGGGACAGCAAGGAGUCAUCAUACCAGGUAGUCUUGAGGCAUGGUCCUAGGGCUCAGGUCCUCCGAGAGAGAAAGAAAGAGAAUUAGAGAGAGCAUACUUAAAUUCACACAGGACACCAGAUAAGACAGGAGAAGUACUCCAGAUAUAACAGACUGACCCUAGCCCCUGACAAACUACUGCAGCAUAAAUACUGGAGGCUGAGACGGGAGGGGUCAGGCGACACUGGCCCCAUCUUAUGAUACCCCCGGACAGGGCCAAACAGGAAGGAUAUAACCCCACCCACUUAGCCAAAGCACACUAGAGGGAUAUCUUCAACCACCAACUUACCAUCCUGAGACCAGGCCGAGUAUAGCCCACAAAGAUCUCCGCCACGGCGCAACCCAGACAGGAAGAUCACAUCAGUGACUCAACCCACUCAAGUGACGCACCCCUCUUAGGGGACGGCAUGAAAGAGCACCAGUAAGCCAGUGACUCAGCCCCUGUAAUAGGGUUAGAGGCAGAGAAUCCCAGUGGAAAGAGGGGAACCGGCCAGGCAGAGACAGCAAGGGCGGUUCGUUGCUCCAGAGCCUUUCCGUUCACCUUCACACUCCUGGGCCAGACUACACUCAAUCAUAUGACCCACUGAAGAGUAACUUCUAAGUUGCCAACUUUGACACUAAAACAGGGGACCUUGCAAGCUUAGCUCUGGAACCAAAUAAGAUCGAUUGCGUUUUUCCAAGAUGCAGAGAAAGAUUUAUCAAAAAAAUCUAUUUGCUGAUAUUGGAUAACUGCACUGAGUAUUUCUUUCUUAUGGGACACAAGUAGAGUCAUCUGCAUACAAAAACCAUUGACAAGAGCAGGCUGAUUUAUGUUUAAAAAAAAACAUUUAGGGUUGGGGUGACUGAAGGAAGGCAUGUGUGACUGCUUGUAUCUCUCAGUCUUGGGCUGUGGAUAAGAUGGCAGUUAGCUUGUCUUGUAAAGGGACCUUUAAAGAGGAAAACAUCCAGGCAAAAUGUAUCUCUUUGCUCAUGGAAUGAGGGUAGUGAUAAUGAAUUUAGUGCAGCCUUGUAUCUGACAUAUGCUGUGCCAAGGAUGAUUUGCCAAAUGUGGUUUUGGUUGCGCUCAAGCUGAUCAGAGUGCCUGAGUUUAGGAGUCACUGCCAGGACCGGCAGGGGAAGUGGGCCCGGUUCCUUCCCUGGGCGGAGUAUGCCCAGAAUUCACUUUGUCACUCCUCCACUGGGCUGUCACCCUUCCAGUGCGUCCCAGGGUACCAACCGGCCCAGGCUCCAUGGACCCCGAGCCAGAAGCUCCUGCAGAGGAGGUUUGGAACACUGCCCAGGUGAGGCUCCAAUGCGCCAUCUGCCGCCAGAAAGAGCAGACGGACCGCCACUGCAGGGAGGCUCCCGUGUUUCAUCCCGGUGAACGCGUCUGCCUUCCGCCAGGAACCUCCCCCUCUGCCUGACCUACCGGAAGCUGAGCCCCCGCAUGGGGGUUUCUGGUCUCCUGGCUUAUGCCAUCUCCCACGACACCUCUCCACCUCCCCUGGACAUCGAAGGAAGCCCGUCAGAUGACGUCAGAUCCCUCCUGGACUCCCGACGUCAUGGGGGUCACUUCCAGUAUAUGGUGGACUGGGAGGGGUAUGGUCCAGAGGAGUGCUGUUGGGUUCCGGUGGAUGACAUUCUAGAUCCCAACAUCAUCCGAGAUUUCCACCUUCGCCGACCGGCCCGCUCCUCGCCUUCGGGGCCAUCCUCCUGUGGCUGGAGCCACGCGUCGGUGGGGGUUCUAUCACGUCUACUCCCGCUCUGGGGCUUGACGUUGCCGGUCUACUAACCACCAGUCCUGGCAAACUAUCAUUACGCACACCUAGCACCCAUCAUUACGUACACCUGCACCCCAUUAGGCACACUUGGACUUCAUCACUUCCACGAUUACUUCCCCUUUAGCUGUUGUAUCACCAACAUGCAGUAUUGUAUGGUGGAAUAUUAUAUGUAGAGAGUGACAGAGACUUUGUCAUUUCUUCAAACAAUCAUCUUUAGUCAAUAUUGAUUAAUUAUUGCAAUACUGAAACCGUCGACACAAAAGUCUUGACUGUUGGGCUGAGAGCCUACUCUUUACAGACAGUGCACAGUUUAUAUAGCUGAUACCCAGAAUGCUUGGUUCCACCUCUCCCAUAUACAUUGGAGGUACUAUAAGCCACUGGGGUUUCCUCUGGUCAUCUGCCUCUCGUGCUGUUUCCCAGAUGCCUGGAUAAUUAGGACUAGUGAGGCCUUUGUUCUGUUCCUCCUGGCCAUCUCGGUGACACACACCACAUCUGAUCUAUGGAAUGCCAGCUGUGUUUUUUUUUUUAUCACCAAGUUAUCACUUAAUCAGUUGCCAGCCCAAGCUCCAUAAAGACUCAUCUCAGUUAACUCUGAAAGGAGAGAGAGAGAGUCCUAAGAACCUUACUCUAUUCAAUAAAACAACCAUUUGGUGCAUAAAUAUAACAAUCUUGUUAUCCUGCUACCACAAUUGUAUCUGUGUUCCUGUUCAAAAACGCUACUCUUGUUCUUGCAUUCUUUCUAAGUUCGUUCAUAUUAAACUCAGACUACACCUGCUUCCUGACUCCCUGCGUCUUCGUUACAGUCCAUUUACCUUACAGCUAAAAUUAAGUUAGUUUUAAGCUUCCUUAAUGCAAAAGAUUUCCAAUAAACUAGUGUGAGUAGCCCUUUCCUGCAGUCAUUGACCAAUAGCGCCCCCUUUGGCCUCGGGUGUAAUGUUAUUCAUGUUUUGUUUUUUUUACAAUGAAAAUCUGGGUGUUUGUCAAACAGUUUUGUUAUAUUUCAGUCUUCUGUGAUGUGUGUGUAUAUAAAGUGUAAUAUUGGGAUGCAAACUCAAAAUGGAAUACAUUUCAACUCUCUUAUCUAACAUGGUACAGGUGUCUUAUUUUUU